rnacentral:hammerhead_ribozyme from 2 species
AAGCGAAACAGGCCCCGGAGGGCCUGUCUGCCGGAGGUGGUGCUCCGGUACUGAUGAGCAGCCUAGC